UACAGAGGUCUCAAGCGUUGUUCGGAUUCAUUGGGCGUAAAGGGUGCGUAGGUGGCGCGCUAAGUCGGGUGUGAAAUCUCGGAGCUUAACUCCGAAAUUGCAUUCGAUACUGGCGUGCUUGAGGACUGGAGAGGAGACUGGAAUUCAUGGUGUAGCAGUGAAAUGCGUAGAGAUCAUGAGGAAGACCAGUGGCGAAGGCGGGUCUCUGGACAGUUCCUGACACUGAGGCACGAAGGCCAGGGGAGCAAGCGGG
rnacentral:rRNA from 1 species